GAUGAAGAACGUAGUGAAAUGCGAUAAGUAAUGUGAAUUGCAGAAUUCAGUGAAUCAUCGAAUCUUUGAACGCACAUUGCGCCCCUUGGUAUUCCGAGGGGCAUGCCUGUUCGAGCGUCAUUAUAACCCUCAAGCUCAGCUUGGUGUUGGGGCCUGCUGCACUGGCAGCCCUUAAAAUCAGUGGCGGCGCCAUCUGGCUCUAGCGUAGUAAUUCUUCUCGCUAUGGAGUCCUGGUGGAUGCUUGCCAUCAACCCCCAAUUUUUCUAUGGUUGACCUCGGAUCAGGUAGGGAUACCCGCUGAACUUAAGCAUAUCAAUAAGCGGAGGA
rnacentral:misc_RNA from 1 species